UACGUAGGGGGCGAGCGUUGUCCGGAUUUAUUGGGCGUAAAGAGCUCGUAGGCGGUUCGGUAAGUCGGAUGUGAAAUCUCCACGCUCAACGUGGAGGGGCCAUUCGAUACUGCCGUGACUCGAGUCCGGUAGGGGAGUGUGGAAUUCCCGGUGUAGCGGUGAAAUGCGCAGAGAUCGGGAGGAACACCCGUAGCGAAGGCGGCACUCUGGGCCGGUACUGACGCUGAGGAGCGAAAGCGUGGGUAGCAAACAGG
rnacentral:rRNA from 1 species